rnacentral:rRNA from 1 species
GUCCACGCCCUAAACGAUGUCGACUAGUUGUUGGGGAAGGAAACUUCCUUAGUAACGAAGCUAACGCGUGAAGUCGACCGCCUGGGGAGUACGGCCGCAAGGUUAAAACUCAAAGGAAUUGACGGGGACCCGCACAAGCGGUGGAUUAUGUGGAUUAAUUCGAUGCAACGCGAAAAACCUUACCUACCCUUGACAUGUCCGGAAGCCUAAUGAGAGUUGGGUGUGCCCGAAAGGGAGCCGGAACACAGGUGCUGCAUGGCUGUCGU